rnacentral:lncRNA from 1 species
AGGGCGAGCGUCGGCGCCUAAAAGGUGCUGGUUGCAUCACCAAGUGCGGAGCCGGCAGCCCCGGGCACAUCCUGUCCCCUCCCAGCAGGGCUGCAAGAGCCGAGCGAGCGUGUCCGUCUGUCCGGGGUUCGGGAGCCAUGGCCGGGAUCGCGGUCACCCUCGGGCUGGCGGUGCUGCUGCCCACGGCCGCCUUCCCCUGCGGAGCCCUGCGCCCUGACAACGCCACGGCCACCAAGCUGCUGGGGACGUGGCUGUACGUGGCCGGGGCUGCCCAGUUCCCCCGGCACCUCCUGGAGAUGCUGCUCAUCGACCACGGGCACCUGCACGUGGAGCCCCUCACGGAUGGGCGGGAGCUGCUCAUCACCCAGCACGUGGCCGUGGGGGACCAAUGUCUCACCAACAACCUCACCUACUUGGAAAUCGCCACCGGUAACACCACACUGGUGAAGCAUGCCAAGACCCAGGAAACUGUGGGGACACUGAUGAACCUCACCUCUGAAGACCUUUUACUCAUCCAGUACCAACUGCAGAGGGAAAGGACAUAUGUGGGACUGUAUCUCUACGCCCGGAACCUGAGCGUGAGCACAGCUGACCGUGAGGAAUUCGAGCACCACGCCAAGUGCCUGGGGCUGAGGGAAGAGGAGAUCAUUUAUGCACCCUGGAAAACAGAGCUGUGUCAAACAAAAGAAAUAGAAAAAGGCAACACCCCACACACGGAGCCCGUGGCUGAGGGCACAGCAUCACCUCCUCCAGGUACCCCCCGGCCUGGGAGUGUGGGGAACUGACCCCACUUCAAGCAAUAAAUGUUUUCUUCAAAUUCCA